GGGCGCGUAGCUCAGCGGAAGAGCACUCGCCUUACAAGCGAGGGGUCGCAGGUUCGAACCCUGCCGCGCCCACCA
rnacentral:tRNA from 5 species